UUUGGGAAGAAAGUUUUAUCCUGGCUCAGGACGAAGGCUGGCGGCGUGCCUAAUACAUGCAAGUCGAGCGGACAGAUGGGAGCUGCUCCCUGAUGUUAGCGGCGGACGGGUGAGUAACACGUGGGUAACCUGCCUGUAAGACUGGGAUAACUCCGGGAAACCGGGGCUAAUACCGGAUGCUUGAUGAACCGCAUGGUUCAAUUAUAAAAGGUGGCUUUUAGCUACCACUUACAGAUGGACCCGCGGCGCAUUAGCUAGUUGGUGAGGUAACGGCUCACCAAGGCAACGAUGCGUAGCCGACCUGAGAGGGUGAUCGGCCACACUGGGACUGAGAGACGGCCCAGACUCCUACGGGAGGCAGCAGUAGGGAAUCUCCGCAAUGGACGAAAGUCUGACGGAGCAAGGCCGCGUGAGUGAUAAGGUUUCGGACGUAAACUCUGUGUUGGAAGACAAGACCGUCAAUGGCGGUCCUUACGGUCCAUCCA
rnacentral:rRNA from 1 species